AUGGCUGAGGACCAGAGGGAAGACAGGGACAGGGGCCAAGCAGCUAUCCACUGCAGGAGUUCCCUCAGCACCCAGAGUCUCCCAGAGUCUCCUACCUGUUCAUCACACCUGCUGGCCUCCACUCACUCACCCACUGUGAGCAAAAUCAAAGGGAUCAAUGCUGUGGCCACAGAAGCACCUCCGGAAACCCAGCUGCAAGUCACCAAGAAGAGGCUGGCUGAGGCCUGGGCACCUUCCUCUGUCUUCCUGGGCCAGGAGCCCCAGAAGGCAGGUCUCAGUGUCCUCUCUGUGCCCCUGACCUCACCCACCAUCUUCCCACUGAGCCUUGCAAAGGCCGAGAUAGACAAUGAAGUGAUUGUCGGCUGCCUGAUUCGGGAUUUCUUCCCCUCCGGACCUGUGAAUGUGACCUGGAGCAAGAGCGGGGAUCCUGUGGUCCUCAGAAACUUCCCGCCUGUCCUGGCCACAGAGGGCCUGUACAUCAUGAGCAGCCAACUGACCCUGCCUGCUGACCAGUGCCCAGAUGACACGUCCCUGACAUGCUACGUGCAGCAUGACUCUAGCCCCACCCAGGAUGUGGCUGUACCUUGCAAAGUUCCAGAACCACUCCCCUGUCCAAAAUGCCACCCCAGCCUGUCACUGCAGCGGCCAUCCCUCGAAGACCUGCUCCUGGGCUCAGACGCCAGCCUCACAUGCACACUGCGUGGCCUGAAGAAACCUGAAGGAGCCACCUUCACCUGGCAGCCCUCAGGAGGGAAGGACGCCAUUCAGAAGCACCCUGAGCCGGAUUCCUGUGGCUGUUUUAGUGUGUCCAGCGUCCUGCCUGGUUGCGCUGAGCCCUGGAACAGUGGAGAGACCUUCACGUGCACAGUCAGCCACCCUGAGCUAGAGGAGCCAAAAACUGCCACCAUUGCCAAGGCCACAGAGAACACCUUCCGGCCUCAGGUCCACCUGCUGCCGCCGCCGCCGGAGGAGCUGGCCCUGAAUGAGCUGGUGUCGCUGACAUGCCUGGUACGGGGAUUCAACCCUCCAGAGGUGCUGGUGCGCUGGCUGCAGGGGACCCAGGAGCUGCCCCGCAAUACCUACCUGACAACUAGGCCCCUCAACGCCAAUGGCUCCAGUACCACCUUCUUCAUCUUCAGCCGCCUGGAGGUCACCCGGGCAGACUGGAUGCAGAACAACAAAUUCACCUGCCGCGUGGUCCAUGAGGCACUGCCUGAACCUAGGACCAUUGAGAAAACAGUGUCCAAAAACACAGAGCUGGACCUCCAGGACCUGUGCACAGAGGAGGCCGAGAGUGAGGAGCUGGACGGGCUGUGGACCAGCACCUGUAUUUUCAUCAUCUUGUUUCUUCUCAGCGUGAAGCUAUGGUGCCACUGUCACCCUCCUCAAGGUGAAGUGGGUCUUCUCAGCCCUACUGCAGAGCACGCCUCAAGCUCUCCACGACUAUGCCAACGUCCUCCAGCCUCGGGCCUAG